GUACGUGACCCGACUUCAAACUUGGAAGCUGGCUGCUGACUGUAUCAGAGUGCUGACUACCUGAGGAGACGGAGUCUACGAAGCCACUGUGGGAUGCAGUCUGACAGAGUAUCAUUGCAGCAGCAUCAAAGCUGUUGCAGAGGACUGGAGGUUGCCUGUGACAGACCUGUUACAUAACUCACAUAAUGCGAGGAUUCUGCUAGACACUCAGGCCUGGGGCAGAUCCACGUCAACCCUCAAUUAGUUCCAUAAACACAAAGCAUUAGAAUACAGACUACGUUGAGUGGACCAGGAAAGCUUUAGUCUCUAAACACAUUAAUAAAUAAAUAAUUUGUGUUUGCCUGCUUCCUCAUUUCUCUGUUUCACAUUCACUGGAAAAUAAAGUUCAUAGCAGAUCCAUGAUGUAUUAUCAGAAACUACACACACUACACAAAUAAAUUGUAAUUGCUACAUUA